rnacentral:misc_RNA from 1 species
GAAAUGCGAUAAGUAGUGUGAAUUGCAGAAUUCAGUGAAUCAUCGAAUCUUUGAACGCACAUUGCGCCCUUUGGCAUUCCGAAGGGCAUGCCUGUUCGAGCGUCAUUACGCACCCUCAAGCCCGGCUUGUGUGAUGGGCCCCGGCGUCUCGUUCGCGAGACGGGCCCGAAAGGCAGCGGCGGCGUCGACCCGAUGAGCCCGAGCGUAUGGGGACUUCUGUCACACGUUCGCGGUGCGGACCGGCGCCUGCUUGACUUUUCUGAUUAUCCAGGUUGACCUCGGAUCAGGUAGGGAUACCCGCUGAACUUAAGC